AGCUGCACAAAGAUAAAAUCUAAGAGUUACAACCAUCUCCACGUUUCCACUUCUGAACCCAGCAUACACCCACCUCAGAAUAUGGAGACAGUUAUGUGCUAAAGGGAUGUAGUUUAUAAUAGCUCAAAACUGAAGCUAAAUUUUAAAAAAGGAAAUAAAAAGAAAAGGAAAGGGGAAAAAAUACAGAAUCCUUCAGGAUACAUUAUAAAUGGCACUCUCAAGAAAAGAGCAUUUAGAGAAAGAAAACAGGCAAUAUUCAGAGUUUGUCAAAGCAAGCUGUGGGCAUAAGUACAGGAGGCAGAUGUCAGUGGGAGACCACAGGCUUAGUAAUGCAAGGCUCUGGAGUGGGGAAAUUCAGUUUUACAUUUUUCAGUCUUCAUAGAGGUUCUAUGGAAACUACACACACUUAACACAAUGCACAUGAUGCACAUGAUGCACACAAGUAAACAACACUGAUAUCCUCGGAAAGCAAUGCAAAGCACAUGCAACCAACAGGCAGCAAAUGGCAGACCAGACGAACGCAUCAUGUCCAUGGGAAAUUUAACUACAUAGAUGGGAAUCUGGGAAAAGGCUACACACACUUGAAAUCACUACAGCACUGCAUAGAUAAUGCCGAUCCUCUUAAAGGGCCUUAUCUGCAGCUCCUUAAGUCCCUCUGCAUCCCUUCCUGCCCUUCCUGGGGAAUGAGCGAGGGCUUCAUGCUUGCUGAGGAAGUGCUCACUACUGAACUCCGUCUCCCUGCUUCUCUUAUUUUCUAAAGUAAAAUGUCAUAGGUUAGUUUUGUAUUAACUUCUUUUCAAUGUAUACCCUAAAAAUUAAGUUAACUCAGCAGCUAAUUCAGACUCAGGAUAUAAGCCCUCUUAUGAAAACACUCAACACACUAAAGUCAUUUGCUCAAAUUAUAAACUGUGAAGAUGGAAAAACAUUACAGAAGAUAAGCUUCCUGGAAUUAUUUGAUACAGGAGGAAAUUCUGGUCUUUAAAAAAUAAAUCCUGAUAAACUUGGACAUUUUACACCAUGAUAAAUCUAAGAACCCUUCAAAUAAAGCAGUUAAAUGAGAGAGACGGAGCUUUUGUUCGGUUUAUCCAACUGUAAAGCAUGGAUAUAUAAAAGUUUUACCAAUAAUAAAAUGAAUUACUUAUAUGUGAGAACUCUGGGGACUGGAAUUUACGUCAGUUGGUAGAGUGCUUGCCUAGUAUGCAUACAGCAUAGAUUCUGACUCCCAGGAUGAUGUAAAAACCAGGUGUGCUGGCAUACUUCUUUCUAUAUUCGGAGGACUCAGGUGUGGACAAGAGAAUGAGAGCUCCAAAGUCACCCUUGUAUGUAUAGGGAAUGUAAGGCUAGCCUUAGAUAUAUCAGCUCUUGCCUUAAAAAAGCAGGGGAGGGAAAAUUAUCACAAUUAUUUGAUAAAUUAAAUACCACGGGAGAAGGAAGAAGGUAGGGGAAGGAGGAGGUCUCCAGGAGGCAGGAUGGACCAUGAGGAUGGACCAUGAGCACAUGGCCAAGAGAAAACCUCCCUGAGGACACACAUGGAGCAGAACAAACAAAGUAAGAGCCAGUUGGCAAGUAACACUGGGCCUGUGGCUGAGAUGUGGGUUAGAAUAGCUCAGAACCUGCCCAGUUUAGGCUUAUAGCUUGUUAAUAAAAAUACCAGGUUUCUGUCUUUUAUUUGGGAGCUAUGUAUGCUAGAGUGGGGCAGAACCCCCCAUAAAGUUACUUCUAUAAAAUGCUAUACAACAGGCCUCUAGUGCUUAUGAUCUGUGAAAUCCCACUGUGGAACUAUACUUGUGCACAGUGCUGAAAUGUCCUAUCUAGUCUCAGAGAGAGAUGGAUGUAACCACUCCACUGUGCCAAGAUAUUACCAAAGCUACUGUGAUGUCCUGCAGAGCACGGCUGUGCCCAAUAAUGCUUUAUUUAUGGAUACAGAAGUUUGAAUUCCAUAUGAUUUUUGUUAUCAUGAGUUUUCUGAUUUUUUUUUCUCAACUUUUCAAACUGGUUUAACUAAGAAAAAGAAACAAAAGAAAACAACCAUCUUCAGCUCAUGUGCUAUACAAAGCAAGUGCUGGGCUGCACUUGGCCCAAGGGCGGCGGCAGUGUGUUAAUUAGCAGAGUAGUCAAGCAUAGAAGCAUACUGCUCUCUAAUGAGGAGCACAGGACAGAAAUCUCUGGGGAAGGUUUUCUUACUAAAUUGCUAAUACUUAAUGUAUUACAAAAAUGAAAGUAUAGUUGAAAAGCAUAGAUAUAUUACAGUAUAUGAAAACAAUGGACAUAUAAAAAUAGAAAUAUAUUAAUUUAAUUGCUUUCUUAAGUUCAUGAAGCCAUGGUCAAAUUAGUUAUAAAAAUUACUUUUAAACAUGUGUGUGAUUUAUUGCUAUGUGUUCAACAACAGAAAUAGCUUAUAAAUUAAUACAUUUUGUACUAGCUAUAUAUUAGCAGGUUAGUGACAACAAUUUGUGUGAUGACUAUAUGUGAUGGAAGAAAAAUCUUCAGAAUAGCUCCAGGCACACUUUAGAGGUCAAAACACUUAUUACUCUGUGUGUGUGUGUGUGUGUGUGUGUGUGUGUGUGUGUGUGCGCGCGCGCACAUGUGUAGGGAUACACAUGUGUACUUGUGUGUGGAGGCUAGAGGGUGACGUGGCUUCCCUCUUCUGCAGGUACUGUCCACCUUAUUUUUGACACUGGAGCUUUCCCAUUGGCUUUGCUGUCUGAGGAGCAAACCCCAGGGUUCGUCCUCCUGCCGGGAAUUGUGUGCGCCCGCAUGCCUGGUGUUCUCACAGAGGAUCUUCACCUCAGACCUUGAAAUAAUCCACACAUAAGGAUUACAGCUCUCAUUCUGGCAAUGAAGAAACAGUCUGAGAACAGAUGAAUCUUUCUUCCAGCUCACAGAACUGAACAAAUGCACGCUCAUUCUGACUGCGGUAGAUGACUGCCCACCGUUGUUACAGUAUUUUAUGGAACAAGUGAGCACAUGAAGCAGAAAGGAGCUGCAUUGCCUGGGAACACUUAUAAUAAAGUUUCCCUCAUCACAGCCUUCUCCAGAAGUCACUGCGUCCCACCCACAGCCACCUCUGUUUCUCAUUGCUUCUAGACACUGCCUUUUACUAUUUCAACCUCUUCACGUGUGGAGUCCAUGCCAUAGGCUUCCUGUGCUCUGUUUGUGAUGCUGAGGAUAUGGCCCAGGGCCGUAUGCAUGCAGAUAAGUGCUCUAUCACCAGGCUGUAGCCUCAAACCUCAAACGUCUCUUUAUUGUUCUCCAUCCUUCACUUAUAGCAUUAGGUCAAACUCUCUUCUCAACACAAAUGUUACUAAAAACUUCUUGGCUGGGCUGGUGAAUAGCCCAUGUGCCUGCCUUUCCAGCAUGAGGACCUAAGUUCAAUCUUCAGAACCCAUGAUUUUUUUUUUGUUUGUUUGUUUUAAAGAUGAAAAAGAAGGAUGGCUUCUGAGAAACAAGAUCCAACGGGCAAAGUCUGCCUCUGACUGCCACAGUUACACUCACACAGACAUGUACUAGUAUGUGUGCACAGGAACACACAUAGAAGUUUUCUUUUCAUAAAAAUGCUCUGAAUAUGUUGAUUCUAUAUCAAGAACAGUAAUUUCCAUUAAAGACAGGCUUUAAUUCAACCUGUCUUUUUGGAAAGUUUCCUUAAACAACAGCAUUCAUUAAACAACCUCUUCACUGAGGAUGCGCAGACAGGGUUUUUCAAGAUGAGUCACACCUCUCUCUCUUCCUCAGUCUAUCACACACACUUAUGAAAGUCUGAAAAUAAGAUUAAUCCAACCAAAGUAGCUUUAUAUAUUGGUGUAACAUUUUUGAACUCCUUGUAAAGAUAGUGUCAACAUGAAAAAUACUUAAGGAUAAUUUCUAACAGUGGCUCACAACUGCAUAAAUCAAACCUGCUAUUAACUUCUAUAGAAAAUCCAUCUAGAUAAUAUUCAAAUUUUCAUGUCAGUAUCUUUUUCCUCAUAAAACUUUAAACUUUAUUAUUACCUUUCAUCAACUGAUGGCUCUUUCUGUUGCAAAUGAGGCUUGACUCCAAACAUUGGGCGAAUAUUUGUUGAUAAGGCUCUGAUGGUAUAGCUAAUUUCAUUCUCUCUUGUAACAUCGCUGUCAUAGCCUGUCAUUAAGAUACACAUGUUAUUAAAUGAUAAGGUGAUCAAUUACAUUCUUAUAAAUUCAUCUUCUUCCAACAAUAUAAGGUAAAUUGUUAAAGAUACAUACUAAAUAUGCAACUAGAAAAAUUAAUGUGAAUAACAUUUAAUAUGUAAUAGUAUCUAAUAAUUGUCACUAAUUGUACAUUACUGCAAGCUACAAAAAUGUGUUUAAUUAUCUCAUUUUUACUAAAAGUACUAUAUACAUAAGUGUACGCAUACAUUAAUAUGUACCCUCAACUGUUAAGUGUGAAUGGCUAAGUUAUUCAUCCAUUCUGCGUUUUUAUAAUUACUGAUAUUACUGGCACAUUAAGAAAAUCAAAAUCAUCUUAAAAUAUAAAGUUCAAUAAUAUAAAAGCUUUUAUAGCACUUAUUUAAAAUAUGAUUAGCUGUUUUACAGAUGAUAAGUAUCUAAGUCAUCAAUGCACGCCAGUCAUGAGUCACAAAAACAAUUUUGCUGUAAAGCUGACCAAAACACUAAUAACACAAUUGUUCAAACGUGAUUACUAUUUUUAACUUCUGUAGUUUGAAUCAGUGAAGCUACUUUUUCUGUAUUUUUGAUAAAGCGUUUUUAAAUGAAAUACCUCCAUCUUCUUCAGAAUCUAUAUCAGACUCUUCACUGUCACAGUACUUCUUUUCUCGAUGGCUCUCCACUUCAUUUGUCCAUACCAUUAAGGACAUAUCUGCUCCUCCCAGGGUAACCAGCAUGCUGUCAUCAUAAGUCCAGCGAACAUUUGUGACAUGUGUGCUGUGAGCCACAUACUUCUUAAACUUUCCAAAUUUUCCCUGAAGAUAAAGUGAAUCCAAACAUUCUUUCCCAAUUCUAGUCUGAACACUUUUGUUUUUAAAUACAUAAUAUAUAUAAUAAGUAGACACAUAUAAUUAUAAUUAUAUUUAACUUCAAUUCACUUGUGCUUUCAUUGGUAAGUACCACAUACACAUAUUACACACAUUGUCUGUCUGUCUGUCUGUCUGUCUCCCCCUUCCUCUCUCUUAUCUUUUAGUGUUCCAUAUCUGAUAGACAGGCAGUAGGCACUCUACUGAAGAACUACAUUCUCCAGAACUGGAAUACUGUUUUGAAUUCCAAGGGAACUGUAAGUUAUAGACCCCGGAAAGUUUAGUUGUGCAAGUAAAUUUGAGAUCAGUAAACUAUAAGUGGUUUUAAGUGAACACUUUUCAAAGUUGUUAAAAUAAAGUUUCCCACAUUAACAAAGCAGAAGGGUGAGGGAGGUGGUUCUGCAUGUCAAGGUGCCUGCUAUCAAGUCGAAUGAUUGGAGUGUGAUCCCUAGGAGCCAUACUGGAGGAGAGGGCCAACUUCAGCAGGGGUCCUCUGACCUCCAUGUGCCAUGGCAUAUAGUGCUCAUACACACACAUACAUGUGUGCAUAUACCCACACACACACAAGUAAAUAAGAGAAAAUGAGUGAAUUCUCUUGGGGGGAGACAAUCAAAAUUAGGGGUCUGGUGAGAAGGCUGAGUAGAAAAAGGUACAGCACUAACCCCGAGUUUAAUUCUCAGAACACUUGGUGGAAGAAGAGAACCAAUUCUCUCAGGUUGUCCUCUGGCCUCCACAUGUCCGUAGGCUAUAAGGCACAUAUGCUUCCCCCCACAAAUAGAUGAAAUAAAGACCUGCUGUUGCUCUUGUUGUUAA